CUACGGGUCGCACCAGUGGGGAAUAUUGCACAAUGGAGGAAACUCUGAUGCAGCAACGCCGCGUGGAGGAUGACACUUUUCGGAGCGUAAACUCCUUUUAUAUAGGAAGAAGAUGACGGUACUAUAUGAAUAAGCGCCGGCUAACUCCGUGCCAGUAGCCGCGGUAAUACGGAGGGCGCAAGCGUUACUCGGAAUCACUGGGCGUAAAGAGCGUGUAGGCGGAUUAAAAAGUCAGAAGUGAAAUCCUAUAGCUUAACUAUAGAACUGCUUCUGAAACUCUUAAUCUAGAAUAUGGGAGAGGUAGAUGGAAUUUCUGGUGUAGGGGUAAAAUCCGUAGAGAUCAGAAGGAAUACCGAUUGCGAAGGCGAUCUACUAGAACAUUAUUGACGCUGAGACGCGAAAGCGUGGGGAGCAAACAGGAUUAGAUACCCGCAUAGUC
rnacentral:rRNA from 1 species